rnacentral:tRNA from 1 species
GGGCGAUUAACUCAGUUGGUCUAGAGUGCCUGCCUUACACGCAGGAUGUCGUUGGUUCGAAUCCAUCAUCGCCUA